CUGGGAAAGGAGCCCAGGCCAGGAUUAACAGGUGUCCCCAGUCCCUGCUCAGGACAGAACACAGACCACUCACCAUGGAGUUUUGUCUCAGCUGGGUUUUCCUUGUUGCUGUUUUAACAGGUGUCCAGUGUGAUGUGCAGCUGGUGGAGUCUGGGGGAGGCUUGGUGAAGCCUGGGGGGUCUCUGAGACUCUCCUGUGCAGCCUCUGGAUUCACCUUCAGUAGCUACUAUAUGAUCUGGGUCCACCAGGCUCCAGGGAAGGGACUGGAGUGGGUCUCAGAGAUUAGUAGUAAUGGUGGUAGCACAUACUACGCCAACUCUGUGAAGGGCCGAUUCACCAUCUCCAGAGACAACGCCAAGAAUGAGCUCUACCUGCAAAUGAACAGCCUGAGAGCCGAAGGCACGGCCGUCUAUUACUGUGUGAGAGACACACCCAGCCCCACACACCUCAGAGUCCCAGCCGGCCAGGAGCGGGACCUGUGCUUGCUGGACCGUGGGCGCCAGAGGCAUAUGAACCAAAUGCCAGAGGACAAGGGCCCGGGUGCUGAUGAUCACUGA